rnacentral:lncRNA from 1 species
AUUUUCCCCAGCAUGGCUUUCUGAACCUCGCCACUGAAAUGCAGCAGAGCAAGACAGCUGCAAUUUUAAAGCAGCCAUUUUGGAAGUAGUUACUACUUGCGCUUUGUUCUCCUAUCUGUAUACCUUCACAGUAGAAUCAAAGAAGGAGGUUCCCUGUCUCAAGUACUUUUUGUCUGCUGUUGAGUGAGGACCAGACUUGAC